GACGAACGCUGGCGGCGUGCUUAACACAUGCAAGUCGAACGGAAAGGCCCUUCGGGGUACUCGAGUGGCGAACGGGUGAGUAACACGUGGGUGAUCUGCCCUGCACUUUGGGAUAAGCCUGGGAAACUGGGUCUAAUACCGAAUAGGACCACGCGCUUCAUGGUGUGUGGUGGAAAGCUUUUGCGGUGUGGGAUGGGCCCGCGGCCUAUCAGCUUGUUGGUGGGGUAAUGGCCUACCAAGGCGACGACGGGUAGCCGGCCUGAGAGGGUGACCGGCCACACUGGGGCUGAGAUACGGCCCAGACUCCUACGGGAGGCAGCAGUGGGGAAUAUUGCACAAUGGGCGCAAGCCUGACGCAGCGACGCCGCGUGAGGGAUGACGGCCUUCGGGUUGUAAACCUCUUUCAAUAGGGACGAAGCGCAAGUGACGGUACCUAUAGAAGAAGCACCGGCCAACUACGUGCCAGCAGCCGCGGUAAUACGUAGGGUGCGAGCGUUGUCCGGAAUUACUGGGCGUAAAGAGCUCGUAGGUGGUUUGUCGCGUUGUUCGUGAAAACUCACAGCUUAACUGUGGGCGUGCGGGCGAUACGGGCAGACUAGAGUACUGCAGGGGAGACUGGAAUUCCUGGUGUAGCGGUGGAAUGCGCAGAUAUCAGGAGGAACACCGGUGGCGAAGGCGGGUCUCUGGGCAGUAACUGACGCUGAGGAGCGAAAGCGUGGGGAGCGAACAGGAUUAGAUACCCUGGUAGUCCACGCCGUAAACGGUGGGUACUAGGUGUGGGUUCCUUCCUUGGGAUCCGUGCCGUAGCUAACGCAUUAAGUACCCCGCCUGGGGAGUACGGCCGCAAGGCUAAAACUCAAAGGAAUUGACGGGGGCCCGCACAAGCGGCGGAGCAUGUGGAUUAAUUCGAUGCAACGCGAAGAACCUUACCUGGGUUUGACAUGCACAGGACGCCGGCAGAGAUGUCGGUUCCCUUGUGGCCUGUGUGCAGGUGGUGCAUGGCUGUCGUCAGCUCGUGUCGUGAGAUGUUGGGUUAAGUCCCGCAACGAGCGCAACCCUUGUCCUAUGUUGCCAGCGGGUUAUGCCGGGGACUCGUAGGAGACUGCCGGGGUCAACUCGGAGGAAGGUGGGGAUGACGUCAAGUCAUCAUGCCCCUUAUGUCCAGGGCUUCACACAUGCUACAAUGGCCGGUACAAAGGGCUGCGAUGCCGUGAGGUGGAGCGAAUCCUUUCAAAGCCGGUCUCAGUUCGGAUCGGGGUCUGCAACUCGACCCCGUGAAGUCGGAGUCGCUAGUAAUCGCAGAUCAGCAACGCUGCGGUGAAUACGUUCCCGGGCCU
rnacentral:rRNA from 1 species